rnacentral:rRNA from 1 species
CUCGACCUACGGGAGGCAGCAGUAGGGAAUCUUCCACAAUGGGCGAAAGCCUGAUGGAGCAACGCCGCGUGGGUGAAGAAGGUCUUCGGAUCGUAAAACCCUGUUGUUAGAGAAGAAAGUGCGUGAGAGUAACUGUUCACGUUUCGACGGUAUCUAACCAGAAAGCCACGGCUAACUACGUGCCAGCAGCCGCGGUAAUACGUAGGUGGCAAGCGUUAUCCGGAUUUAUUGGGCGUAAAGGGAACGCAGGCGGUCUUUUACGUCUGUUGUGAAAGCCUUCGGCUUAACCGGUGUAG